rnacentral:snRNA from 1 species
AUGCUUAGUUGAGAGGGGCGAUAUUCUAAUCAUAAAGGUGCUUUUUCCACGGUGAAACUUAUCCAUUGCAUUCUGGAUCACAUGCACUGAAAUUUGUGACAUCAUCAAACUCAACUGCAUAAUUUGUGGUAGGAGGGGCUCCAUUUUCCUUC